UCCCUGGUGGCUUAGAGGUUAAAGCAUCUGCCUCCAAUGCGGAGACCUGGGUUCAAUCCCUGGGUCGGGAA
rfam:Ovis aries breed Texel chromosome 6, whole genome shotgun sequence.